UACGGGGGGGGCUAGCGUUGUUCGGAAUUACUGGGCGUAAAGGGCGCGUAGGCGGUCUACUAAGUUGGAUGUGAAAACUCUGGGCUUAACCCAGAGCCUGCAUUCAAAACUGAUAGGCUAGAGUUCUGGAGGGGAUAGCGGAAUUCCUGGUGUAGCGGUGAAAUGCGCAGAUAUCAGGAAGAACACCCGUGGCGAAGGCGGCUCUCUGGGACGGUACUGACGCUGAGACGCGAAAGCGUGGGGAGCGAACAGG
rnacentral:rRNA from 1 species